UACGUAGGGUGCGAGCGUUGUCCGGAAUUACUGGGCGUAAAGAGCUCGUAGGUGGUUUGUCGCGUUGUUCGUGAAAUCCCACGGCUUAACUGUGGGCGUGCGGGCGAUACGGGCAGACUGGAGUACUGCAGGGGAGACUGGAAUUCCUGGUGUAGCGGUGGAAUGCGCAGAUAUCAGGAGGAACACCGGUGGCGAAGGCGGGUCUCUGGGCAGUAACUGACGCUGAGGCGCGAAAGCGUGGGGAGCAAACAGG
rnacentral:rRNA from 1 species